rnacentral:ncRNA from 1 species
GGUUGAGCGGCGUCAAGCCGUUUUCAAGAAACAGCUUCUUGGGUGGGAAGUC